AAAAAAGAGCUUUGACGGGUUGUAGCUGGCCUUCCGAGGCAUGUGCACGCCCUGCUCAUCCACUCUACACCUGUGCACUUACUGUGGGUCUCAGGCGAGCGUCGUCGCUUCGCGGCGUCGGCGUUCAAAUGGGCUCACGUUUUACUACAAACUAUUGAAGUAUCAGAAUGUGUAUUGCGAUGUAACGCAUCUAUAUACAACUUUCAGCAACGGAUCUCUUGGCUCUCGCAUCGAUGAAGAACGCAGCGAAAUGCGAUAAGUAAUGUGAAUUGCAGAAUUCAGUGAAUCAUCGAAUCUUUGAACGCACCUUGCGCUCCUUGGUAUUCCGAGGAGCAUGCCUGUUUGAGUGUCAUGAAAUUCUCAACCUAACGAGUCUUUGCGGGCUUGGUAGGAUUGGACUUGGAGGUUCUUGUCGGCCUGCUUUACCGGGUUCGGGCUCCUCUCAAAUGCAUUAUCGUGGUUCCUUGCAGAUCGGCUCAGGGUGUGAUAAUUGUCUACCCCGCGACCGAGAAGCGUGUGGACGAGCUUCUAAUCCUUCUCGCUAGAGACAGUACACUUAAGACCUCAGACCUCAAAUCGUGUAAGACUACCCUCUGAACUUAAGCAUAUCAUAAGGCGGAAGAAUUUUCGCGAGUUUUGAAAGGGUUGUAGCUCGUUCUCCGAGGCGUGUGCACGCUGUGCUCAUCUCUCUCACGGGGACAUCAGGGGGGGGUCAGAGGAAAGCGUUCUCUCUUCGGGGGGCGGUACUAAGGGGGCUCUUUUUAUACAACAAAUAGAGAGAUAUCAAAGGGUGUUAUGGGGAUUUAACGCCUCUUUUAUACACUUUCGCACGGAUCUUGGGCUCUGCCUCGUAAAAAACGCGCGAAUGCGAUAGUAAUGUGAAUUGCAAAAUAGUGAUAUCUCAACUUUGACCACUGCGCUCCGGGUAUUCGAGGAGAGCGUUUGGAGUGUAGAUUACAACUAACGAGCUUCGGCCUGCAGAUGACUGGAGAGGUAUAGUGGCUGAUAGGGUUCGCUCCUCAUGCUAGCUGUUCGUGUAUCGCAGGGGAUAUUGUCACCGCACGAAGUGGCACUUACUCUGUGAUACUUAUCUAAAUGGGGAACAGUAAUAAAUGGGAGAGAA
rnacentral:rRNA from 1 species